CUCAAUUUUUCUUCUUUUGUGAUUUUAAUUUUACCAACUUUUCUCAAAAUAGCAUGGGUGUAAAAUAAUUGAAGUGCAAACAUGCUCAUCAGAUUCUUAUUUUCUACUCUUUUGUCAAAUUAGCCAAACAAAAAAAUAAAAUAUUGCUAUCUAUAGAAAUCUCUUGAAGAAUGAACAAUCAGGGGGAAAAUUGUUCAGAAACAAAAUAUUGCCCAAAACUAAAUCCAACACCACCACCACAAGGUCCUCAGUAUUUCUAGGAUCAAACUGCUUGAAGACGGUUUCGUCGGAGGACCUCACACGCUCUACCACGCUCUGGGGAUAGACUCUACACGUGAGAUUACGCGUCGUUGUCGAUGCAGCCUCAUGUGCCGGUCCGGUGGCUUCACCUUGCCUUCUUGAGUUGGAAUAUGGCCUCUGUUUUAUCUGUUGAGGUUUGGUUUGAUCAGAAUCCUCAAUUACAGUCACUGUCGAUCGGAAAUUUCAACAGUUCUCUUCCUGUUCUGCACAGCUUUUACGGACUGAUUUUUCAACCAAUUUUGCACAGAUUCAACAAUGAUUUUUCACAACCUAUGUGCUGAUACCAUUUUAAGCGAAAAUUACACCAAAAACUUGGAUUCUUAUGCACAAAUCGGGUUUAGUUUCAAUAUCAAAUCAAACAUCACAAUUGAUUCGCAAUCUAAACCAAAUUUCACUAUGGUUGCCCACUUGUAACAUUACCCACAAAGGAUAAUAAGGUAGAUACAAACAAUUAUCAAAUUAAAGAGUAGAAGAAAGAAUGUAGCAAUUAGGUUGAAAAGGUUAAGCAAUUUCUCAUAACACGACUGACCUCUA
rnacentral:lncRNA from 1 species